GCAGUAUUCUAACUGUGCUAAGGUAGCAUAAUCAUUAGUCUUUUAAUUGGAGACUGGUAUGAAUGGCUUAACGAGAAAUUGACUUUUUUUGUUAUAAAGAUUGAAUUUAAUUUUUUAGUGAAAAAGCUAAAAUUAUUCAGAAAGACGAGAAGACCCUAUAGAGUUUUAUGUUUUAAAAAUUAAAUUUUUAUUAGAUUUUUGAAUUAUUUAUUUUUAUAAACAUUUUGUUGGGGCGACAUGAAGAUAAAUAAAACUCUUUAUAUUAAAAAUUUUUAUAAAAAUAUUUUUGAUCCUUUAUAAAAGAUUAUAAGAAAAAAUUACCUUAGGGAUAACAGCGUAAUCUUUUUUAAGAGUUCUAAUCGACAAAAAGGUUUGCGACCUCGAUGUUGGACUAAAAUUUAGGCAGGGUGCAGCAGUUCUGCUUUAAGGUCUGUUCGACCUAUA
rnacentral:rRNA from 1 species